rnacentral:rRNA from 1 species
GGCAUGGCGCAGCCUGAUCCAGCAUGCCGCGUGCAGGAAGAAGGCCUUCGGGUUGUAAACUGCUUUUGUACGGAACGAAACGGUCUGGGUUAAUACCUCGGGCUAAUGACGGUACCGUAAGAAUAAGCACCGGCUAACUACGUGCCAGCAGCCGCGGUAAUACGUAGGGUGCAAGCGUUAAUCGGAAUUACUGGGCGUAAAGCGUGCGCAGGCGGUUUUGUAAGACAGGCGUGAAAUCCCCGGGCUCAACCUGGGAAUGGCGCUUGUGACUGCAAAGCUGGAGUGCGGCAGAGGGGGAUGGAAUUCCGCGUGUAGCAGUGAAAUGCGUAGAUAUGCGGAGGAACACCGAUGGCGAAGGCAAUCCCCUGGGCCUGCACUGACGCUCAUGCACGAAAGCGUGGGGAGCAAACAGGAUUAGAUACCCUGGUAGUCCACGCCCUAAACGAUGUCAACUGGUUGUUGGGUCUCUUCUGACUCAGUAACGAAGCUAACGCGUGAAGUUGACCGCCUGGGGAGUACGGCCGCAAGGUUGAAACUCAAAGGAAAUUGACGGG